rnacentral:tRNA from 1 species
UUUAAUAUGGCAGAUAAAGUGCAAUGGCGUUAAGUGCCAUAAAUGAAAUUAUAUAAAUUUCUAUUAAAA